rnacentral:rRNA from 1 species
CAACUUAAUCGGAUCGAAUGGGGUCGUCCCCCGACAAACCAUUCAAGUUUCUGCCCCAUCAUGCUUUCUAUGGUAGUGUAUUGGACUACCAUGGCUUUCACGGGUAACGGAGGAUUAGGGUUCGAUUCCGGAGAGGGAGCCUGAGAAACGGCUACCACUUCCACGGAAGGCAGCAGGCGCGUAAAUUACCCAAUCCUAAUUCAGGGAGGUAGUGACAAAAAAUAACGGGCCGGGA